CUGUAAGCCUGUGAAGGUGUACUGUGAGGUAUGCUGGAGGUAUCAGAAGUGCGAAUGCUGACAUAAGUAACGAUAAAGCGGGUGAAAAGCCCGCUCGCCGGAAGACCAAGGGUUCCUGUCCAACGUUAAUCGGGGCAGGGUGAGUCGACCCCUAAGGCGAGGCCGAAAGGCGUAGUCGAUGGGAAACAGGUUAAUAUUCCUGUACUUGGUGUUACUGCGAAGGGGGGACGGAGAAGGCUAUGUUGGCCGGGCGACGGUUGUCCCGGUUUAAGCGUGUAGGCUGGUUUUCCAGGCAAAUCCGGAAAAUCAAGGCUGAGGCG
rnacentral:rRNA from 1 species